rnacentral:rRNA from 1 species
AGAGUUUGAUCAUGGCUCAGAUUGAACGCUGGCGGAAUGCUUUACACAUGCAAGUCGAACGGCAGCACGGGAGCUUGCUCCUGGUGGCGAGUGGCGAACGGGUGAGUAACAUAUCGGAACGUAUCCAAUAAUGGGGGAUAACUAGUCGAAAGACUUGCUAAUACCGCAUACGCCCCACGGGGGAAAGCAGGGGAUCGCAAGACCUUGCGUUAAUGGAGCGGCCGAUAUCUGAUUAGCUAGUUGGUGGGGUAAAGGCCCACCAAGGCUUUGAUCAGUAGCUGGUCUGAGAGGACGACCAGCCACACUGGAACUGAGACACGGUCCAGACUCCUACGGGAGGCAGCAGUGGGGAAUUUUGGACAAUGGGGGCAACCCUGAUCCAGCCAUUCCGCGUGAGUGAAGAAGGCCUUCGGGUUGUAAAGCUCUUUCGCAAGGGAAGAAAACUUACUUAAUAACACUAGGUGAGGCUGACGGUACCUUGAUAAGAAGCACCGGCUAACUACGUGCCAGCAGCCGCGGUAAUACGUAGGGUGCGAGCGUUAAUCGGAAUUACUGGGCGUAAAGCGUGCGCAGGCGGUUUGAUAAGUCAGAUGUGAAAGCCCCGGGCUCACCUGGGAACUGCGUUUGAAACUAUCAGACUGGAGUAUGGCAGAGG